rnacentral:rRNA from 1 species
GAUGAACGCUAGCGGCAGGCUUAACACAUGCAAGUCGAGGGGCAGCGAGAGAGUAGCAAUACUUUUGUCGGCGACCGGCGGACGGGUGCGUAACGCGUAUGCAACCUACCUUAUACAGGGGGGAUAACCUUUCGAAAAGGGAGACUAAUACCGCAUAACAUUACUUUGAGGCAUCUUGAGGUAAUUAAAUCUUCGGAGGUAUAAGAUGGGCAUGCGUAGCAUUAGCUAGAUGGUGCGGUAACGGCGUACCAUGGCGACGAUGCUUAGGGGUUCUGAGAGGAAGGUCCCCCANACUGGUACUGAGAUACGGACCAGACUCCUACGGGAGGCAGCAGUGAGGAAUAUUGGGUCAAAUGGUCGGAAGACUGAACCAGCCAUGCCGCGUGCAGGAAGAAUGUCUUAUGGAUUGUAAACUGCUUUUACCAGGGACGAAGAACGUGAC